rnacentral:SRP_RNA from 1 species
GCUGGGCACAGUGGCUUGUGCCUGUAAUCCCAGCUCCCUAGGAGGCUGUAGUUGGUCAUGCUGAUCAGAUGCCCACACUAAGGUCAGCAUCAAUAUGGUGACCUGUGGGAAGCUGGAGGUUACCAGAUUGUCUAAGAAGGGGUGAACCAGCCCAGGUCAAGAAUGGAGCAGGCCAAAGCUCCUGUGCAGAGGAGUAGUGGGAUUGCACCUGUGGUUGGUCCCUACAGCA